AUGCUUAUCUGGGUUCAACAAGAAUGAAAAGGUAUUCGAGUGAGUGGCCGACUCCGGUGCCGUGUCCACACGCCUCAACGAGAAAGUUUAAAAUCCUCAUAGGAUCUUCCUACGGGACUCUAGUAACGAAAAAGCGCUUGUAACUCCCGAUGCGGAAGGAAAAUGACUACGAAUUGAAGCGGUGCUCAAAGCAGGAAGGGGACUGCUUUGUCAGCCAGUAAAUGCGGUCUGGGCUGGACAUAAUUUCCAGGCAAGUAAACGAGCAUUGUCAUGUUGUGCCCCCUGUCCACAGUGAUGUGCCCCCCAUCUACAGUGGCAGUUGCACUGAUCUUCUCAACAUCGCCCCCUGGCUCGCACGACUGGCAGAGCAGCAAGGAUGGCUCGUUCUCCCUAGGUUAUGUGAUGCUGUGCACGGAGUGAUAAUUUCAACUACCCGACGAGUAUUGUGCCUGGAGCAAGUCUUCGACUGGUGUGUUUAGCGUCCUUUGCUGCCCGUACAUCAAAAGUGGUCCGAAAGUGGCAACAAAUGACGUCACGGAAGCCGAAGUGUCACGCUGUUGCAUGUUGCGAUCCUGGCGGUUGGCCAUUGAAACGUUAAAGAGCAGCUGCGAGUACCACGAGGCGAACGCGAGUGUCGCUGUCGUCACGGCGUCCCAACUACUGGAUGCUGAAGCUUCAGUGGACUGUCGAACUGUAGAGCGACCUGCAGUAGAACAGGCGUCUGCCACAUCAACCACCGCUGCUGGGACACCGCCAGGAUUGCGACCGGCGACAUCAUGACACUUGUAUGAUGCACCGGGCAGAAAUUGAGGGAUUACUUCUUUGGACACAGUAGACACACCAGUCGGAGAUGCAUUCCAGGCACCAUACCUAUCUAUACAGUACCACUCUGGCUUCAUUUUGCUUGUUUU